CUCAAUGAAAAUUCAAUAGCCGCAAUAUUAUUGUGCUAAGGUAGCAUAAUCAUUUGUUUUUUAAUUAAAAACUAGAACGAAAGAUUUAAUAUUUUUAUUUCUUUCUUACAUUAACUAAUAUAAAUUAUUCUAAAUAUAAAAAAAUAUUUAUAAUUAAAAAAGACGACAAGACCCUAUUGAACUUAACUAAAGUUAAACUGGGGUAGUUAAUUAAAAAUCAUUUUAAUUUAAAUACAAAAAAAAUCUAAUACAAUUAAAUAUAUCAAGUUACCAUAGGGAUAACAGCGUAAUAAUUUUCUCAAGAUCUUAUUCAAAAAAUUGUUUGCGACCUCGAUGUUGAAUUAAUAAUCUAUUAAAUGCAAUAAUUUAAUAAGAAAGUCUGUUCGACUU
rnacentral:rRNA from 1 species